CGGCAGCCCGAGUGGUGAUCACUAUUAUUGGGUCUAAAGGGUCCGUAGCCGGUUUGAUCAGUCUUUUGGGCAAUCUGACAGCUUAACUGUUAGGCUUCCAAAGGAUACUGUCAGACUUGGGACCGGGAGAGGUAAGAGGUACUACAGGGGUAGGAGUGAAAUCUUGUAAUCCCUGUGGGACCACCAGUGGCGAAGGCGUCUUACCAGAACGGGUCCGACGGUGAGGGACGAAAGCUGGGGGCACGAACCGGAUUAGAUACCCGAGUAGUCC
rnacentral:rRNA from 1 species